UAAUACUGGAUAUUGACUUUACCUCGCAUGGGGUUUUGUUGAAAGCUUUAGUGGUUUUGGAUGGACUCGCGGCCUAUCAGCUUGUUGGUGAGGUAAUGGCUCACCAAGGCGACGACGGGUAGCCGGCCUGAGAGGGUGACCGGCCACACUGGGACUGAGACACGGCCCAGACUCCUACGGGAGGCAGCAGUGGGGAAUAUUGCACAAUGGGCGAAAGCCUGAUGCAGCGACGCCGCGUGAGGGAUGACGGCCUUCGGGUUGUAAACCUCUUUCAGUAGGGAACAAGGCUACACGUUGUGUGGUUGAGGGUACUUGCAGAAGAAGCACCGGCUAACUACGUGCCAGCAGCCGCGGUAAUACGUAGGGUGCAAGCGUUAUCCGGAAUUAUUGGGCGUAAAGAGCUCGUAGGCGGUUUGUCGCGUCUGCCGUGAAAGUCCGGGGCUCAACCCCGGAUCUGCGGUGGGUACGGGCAGACUAGAGUGAUGUAGGGGAGACUGGAAUUCCUGGUGUAGCGGUGAAAUGCGCAGAUAUCAGGAGGAACACCGAUGGCGAAGGCAGGUCUCUGGGCAUUAACUGACGCUGAGGAGCGAAAGCAUGGGGAGCGAACAGGAUUAGAUACCCUGGUAGUCCAUGCCGUAAACGUUGGGCACUAGGUGUGGGGGACAUUCCACGUUUUCCGCGCCGUAGCUAACGCAUUAAGUGCCCCGCC
rnacentral:rRNA from 1 species